AUUGAACGCUGGCGGCAGGCCUAACACAUGCAAGUCGAACGAGUGGCGGACGGGUGAGUAAUGUCUGGGACACUGCCUGAUGGAGGGGGAUAACUACUGGAAACGGUAGCUAAUCCCGCAUACCAGCAGAUGUGCCCAGAUGGGAUUAGCUAUUUGGUAGGGUAACGGCUAACCAAGGCCACGAUCCCUAGCUGGUCUGAGAGGGUGACCGGCCACACUGGAACUGAGACACGGUCCAGACUCCUACGGGAGGCAGCAGUAGGGAAUAUUGCACAAGGGGCGCAAGCCUGAUGCAGCCAUGCCGCGUGUAUGAAGAAGGCCUUCGGGUUGUAAAGUACUUUCAGCGGGGAGGCGUUACCCGCAGAAGAAGCACCGGCUAACUCCGUGCCAGCCGCCGCGGUAAUAC
rnacentral:rRNA from 1 species